UCAAGAUAAAAAUGCUAACGUAUUUAAAAUUACUUUGAGAAAUCUUAAAUGACAUUUGUUUAUAUGCAUUUUUAUAAAGCUCUUCAGAUUAGUUAUUUUACAAACCUCUUCAUUUACUAUUCUCUACACACAUCAUACAAGUUGGUACAAAUAUGUUUCUUCAUCUUAGCAGGCACUGCUAAAUGUUUCAGCAAAAUAAAACACAAACGAAUUUGGCGCAAAGUGGGAGGCUUUCUUUCUUAACGGAACCUAUUUUAUAGAGAGACUCUUUUCCUGGGCAAAGAGAUAUGACAUUUGGGGAUACAAGAUUAAGCACAGUACAAAAUGAAAAAGGAGACGUUACAACUGAAACCACAGAAAGACGAAACAUCUUUGGAGGCUAGUAUGAAUAUCUCUACGCUCACAAACUAGAAAACCUGCAAGAAAUGGAUAAAUUUCUAGAAGUAUAGAACCUCCCAGGAUGAACCAGGAAGAAAUAGAAAUCCUGAACAGAUCAAUAAUGAGUAGUGAAAUUGAAUCAGUUAAUUAAAAACUUCCCAGCCAAAAACAAUAAAAACAGCCCAGUACCAGAUGGAUUCACAAUCAAAUUCUACCAGUAGUACAAGGAACUAAUACCAAUUCUUUGAACUGUUCAAAAACAUUGAGGAGGGAAUCCUCCCUAACUCAUUCCAUGAAGCCAUUUUCUCAAACAUAUAAUGUGUAUCUAUUAUAUACUUUUGUGUUAUGGCAAUAAAAAUUAAAAUGGUUAUGAUAAGAACAUUUAGUACACCUUUCUCAAACACUACCAUAUUUCAUAAUUGAAUUUUCUGUUGCUCUCAUCAUCCGGAGAUGAAUCAAAUGUAGAUGGAACAAAAGCUGAAUUGGUUUUAAGAGGUAAGGAACGCUCAUGGUUAAUUAGACCAUUGGUAAAAGUGCUUUUUUGUCCAGUGCCUUGGCAAUAAAAGAACCAAAACCAAAAAAAAUCUUUGACAGGCACUAGGUCUUCUUUACUUCAGGUUAUUAAAAUAUACCAUUGUUUAGAAAAUGCCUGAAUUAAACCG
rnacentral:lncRNA from 10 species